rnacentral:rRNA from 1 species
AGAGUUUGAUCCUGGCUCAGGAUGAACGCUAGCUACAGGCUUAACACAUGCAAGUCGAGGGGCAGCAUGGUCUUAGCUUGCUAAGACUGAUGGCGACCGGCGCACGGGUGAGUAACACGUAUCCAACCUGCCGUCUACUCUUGGACAGCCUUCUGAAAGGAAGAUUAAUACAAGAUGGCAUCAUGAGUCCGCAUGUUCACAUGAUUAAAGGUAUUCCGGUAGACGAUGGGGAUGCGUUCCAUUAGAUAGUAGGCGGGGUAACGGCCCACCUAGUCUUCGAUGGAUAGGGGUUCUGAGAGGAAGGUCCCCCACAUUGGAACUGAGACACGGUCCAAACUCCUACGGGAGGCAGCAGUGAGGAAUAUUGGUCAAUGGGCGAGAGCCUGAACCAGCCAAGUAGCGUGAAGGAUGACUGCCCUAUGGGUUGUAAACUUCUUUUAUAAAGGAAUAAAGUCGGGUAUGCAUACCCGUUUGCAUGUACUUUGUGAAUAAGGAUCGGCUAACUCCGUGCCAGCAGCCGCGGUAAUACGGAGGAUCCGAGCGUUAUCCGGAUUUAUUGGGUUUAAAGGGAGCGUAGAUGGAUGUUUAAGUCAGUUGUGAAAGUUUGCGGCUCAACCGUAAAAUCGCAGUUGAUACUGGAUAUCUUGAGUGCAGUUGAGGCAGGCGGAAUUCGUGGUGUAGCGGUGAAAUGCUUAGAUAUCACGAAGAACUCCGAUUGCGAAGGCAGCCUGCUAAGCUGCAACUGACAUUGAGGCUCGAAAGUGUGGGUAUCAAACAGGAUUAGAUACCCUGGUAGUCCACACGGUAAACGAUGAAUACUCGCUGUUUGCGAUAUACGGCAAGCGGCCAAGCGAAAGCGUUAAGUAUUCCACCUGGGGAGUACGCCGGCAACGGUGAAACUCAAAGGAAUUGACGGGGGCCCGCACAAGCGGAGGAACAUGUGGUUUAAUUCGAUGAUACGCGAGGAACCUUACCCGGGCUUAAAUUGCAGAUGAAUUACGGUGAAAGCCGUAAGCCGCAAGGCAUCUGUGAAGGUGCUGCAUGGUUGUCGUCAGCUCGUGCCGUGAGGUGUCGGCUUAAGUGCCAUAACGAGCGCAACCCUUGUUGUCAGUUACUAACAGGUUCUGCUGAGGACUCUGACAAGACUGCCAUCGUAAGAUGUGAGGAAGGUAGGGAUGACGUCAAAUCAGCACGGCCCUUACGUCCGGGGCUACACACGUGUUACAAUGGGGGGUACAGAGGGCCGCUACCACGCGAGUGGAUGCCAAUCCCCAAAACCUCUCUCAGUUCGGACUGGAGUCUGCAACCCGACUCCACGAAGCUGGAUUCGCUAGUAAUCGCGCAUCAGCCACGGCGCGGUGAAUACGUUCCCGGGCCUUGUACACACCGCCCGUCAAGCCAUGGGAGCCGGGGGUACCUGAAGUGCGUAACCGCGAGGAGCGCCCUAGGGUAAAACUGGUGACUGGGGCUAAGUCGUAACAAGGUA